CUGAAUAGAAACAAGAGGUGCCGUACUCAUAGGACGCUCGAUUGCAAGCAAUGACCGUGUUGGACUGUUGGUAGAAACAAGUCAGGUCAGCUCCGUUCUAAGCUGAAAGAAAUUCGCUUAUGAUUAAAAAGGAGUAGCGAGCUCCCGGACUGUCCAUCCAGAGAGAUACAUACAGAUGUGGACACACAGUCACUCAACACCCGUGGACCCAAACAUCCACGCUGCAGUACCUGCACCAAAACACCCAAACCGAACCUGGCCACAGUAUAAACCGAACCACUAGAAGAGAGUCAUCACCACCAGCGAAACUUCGUCCAAUUAGCACGUAAGGUAUUCAACCGAUUACCCCCCCCCCAAUUCCAACAACAAAUCCAUUUCCUCUAUUCUCCCAUUGCAGAUCUCUCUCCUGGAAAAACCGUACCAAGCGAGAAGCUGGUAAUUGCAAGAGGGCUCUCUAAAUUUGAAGGAACUCCAGUCGCUCUGACAACUAUCGCUUUGGUUGCUGCCCGAGAGACGAAUCGCCCUCCUUGUCGUGCCAGAAGAAGCAGGAAAUUAGCCAGGUUGCGAGUUGAAAAUCGGCCACUCCACAGCUUGGGAUCCAGCUUGCCCCACCUUCCUUUCCACCCCGGAUCCGGGCAAGGGCCCUGCCGGGCGGCGGGGGUUUGGAGGCAUCCCCUUCAUCCCCUCCUUCUCCGCUACCCAUUGCCUUCCAAAGAGCAAACGCUAUAGGGACUGAAAAGCCUGAGAUCCGAAGCAGGACCGAGCUCAGCAAAAGAAUGCAGCUCUAUUCUCGCAAGGGAAAUUAUAAAAAAGUUCAUGUUCACGGUUGCCAUCCACAUGACCGACAGCGGCCAAUGGAAACCCCGAACAACUCAUAAAGUUGUAUUGCAAAGUUGUAAAUUUUCAUAAACAACAACGGAUUUAUGGCCUUUUCCUCAUCACUGAGAAGAGGCAGGUCUUACGGAGGCGCCAUCUUACCAGAAAGGCAGCCCCAGAGUGCUAGGCUUGGCUUUUUGCAGACCCUCUUUGCCCUAGUUUUAUUUAAGGAGCAAUUAGAUACUUUCCCAGCCAGGAGGAGGCCGCGGCGAAGGCCGCUGGGCAGACGCAAGCCGAAUAGAGCUCUGAGCCUCUAGGUCAGCCCUGAGCUCCCUUCCUCCCCCUCCCUUCCCUCUCGGCCUGCUUCAUCCUCCUUCUCCCCCUCUUUUCCCCGGCUGCAGGGGAGUUUUAGUGAAUUUCGAUUUCCUGGGAACCCUUUCCUUCCCCAGGACCCUUUUGCAGCAGCAGCCCCGGAGAUGGGAUGAGAUGGCCUAGAAUGGGCAGGGAUGAUCUGGAAUGGGAUGAGACGGGAUGGACGGGAUGAGAGACGAGAGCCAGCAGCAGGCCCUGCCACAGGCAGCUCGGCCAUCGAGUCCCACACUUUUUUGUCCUGUUUGCAGUCUGGAGCCUGCACCUCAAAGGCUGGAAUCAGAUACUCAGGGAGGCGGAUUAUUCAGCUCGGCUGGACUAGGCUGCCGAGCUAAUCUGGAUCUGAGGGGAGGGACGUGUUUGGGAAAUAGGGCAAAGUCAACUUGGAGAGGGAAGCUCCCUUCCUCGCACCAUCCCCCAGGACCCUACCGUGAGAAAGGUGCAGAUUUGGGGGUCCUCUUACAUAAGUGAAAGGGCGAGUGUUGGCAGAUGGAAAUGUCUGUUCAUGUUCACAUGUAUCCGUGCAGAAACACAUAUCCACAUACAUGUGUAAAUAGCACAUAUUUGUGUCCUUUUACCAUAUGCCCAUAUCACUCAGGCUACAUUUUCCCUCUUUUCUGCCCUCCCUCCCAAAACCCCUUUAUUUCCCCCAGUGCUCUUUAUGGUGCCUGGUGGCGAAUAAAGAAACCUGGUCUAUUGUCACCAAGCA